rnacentral:rRNA from 1 species
CACGUAGGGGGCGAGCGUUGUCCGGAUUUAUUGGGCGUAAAGAGCUCGUAGGCGGCUCAGUAAGUCAGGUGUGAAAACUCCGGGCUCAACCUGGAGACGCCACCUGAUACUGCUGUGGCUAGAGUCCGGUAGGGGAGCAUGGAAUUCCUGGUGUAGCGGUGAAAUGCGCAGAUAUCAGGAGGAACACCAGUGGCGAAGGCGGUGCUCUGGGCCGGAACUGACGCUGAGGAGCGAAAGCGUGGGGAGCAAACAGG